UAAAGAUUAAGCCAUGCAUGUCUAAGAACAUAUGUGUAAACAUGAAUCUGCGAACGGCUCAUUAUUAACACCCAUAAUCUACCCAGUUUUCGUAUCCAAAACGGAUAUCUGCGUUAAUUUUGGAGCUAAUACGUGCACCAACGUGCUGCUAGCAAUAGUGGCACGCACUUAUUAGAUCAAGGCCGAUUGGGGCAACCCUUUUGGUGACUCUGAAUAAUUUUGCGGAUCGUAUGGUCUUGUACCGACGACGUACUGGUCGAGUGGGUGCCCUAUCAACUAUUGAUGGAAGUCUAUGUGUCUUCCAUGGUUGUAACGGGUAACGGAGAAUAAGGGUUCGACUCCGGAGAGCUAGCCUUAGAAACGGCUAUCACAUCCAAGGAAGGCAGCAGGCGCGUAAAUUACCCACUCUCAAUUCGAGGAGGUAGUGACUAUCAAUAACGAGACAGAUCUCUUUGAGGUCUGUCAUUGCAAUGAGCACAACUUAAAGA
rnacentral:rRNA from 1 species